rnacentral:rRNA from 4 species
CGCAAGCCUGACGGAGCAACGCCGCGUGAGGGAGGAAGGCCUGUGGGUUGUAAACCUCUUUUCUCUGGGAAGAAGACCUGACGGUACCAGAGGAAUCAGCAUCGGCUAACUCCGUGCCAGCAGCCGCGGUAAGACGGAGGAUGCAAGCGUUAUCCGGAAUUAUUGGGCGUAAAGCGUCCGCAGGCGGCCAAUUAAGUCUGCUGUCAAAGCCUAGGGCUCAACCCUAGAUCGGCAGUGGAAACUGGUUGGCUAGAGUACGGUAGGGGUAGAGGGAAUUCCCAGUGUAGCGGUGAAAUGCGUAGAUAUUGGGAAGAACACCAGUGGCGAAGGCGCUCUACUGGGCCGAAACUGACGCUGAGGGACGAAAGCUAGGGGAGCG